AAAGACGGUCUUGCUGUCACUUAUAGAUGGAUCCGCGCUGCAUUAGCUAGUUGGUAAGGUAACGGCUUACCAAGGCAACGAUGCAUAGCCGACCUGAGAGGGUGAUCGGCCACACUGGAACUGAGACACGGUCCAGACUCCUACGGGAGGCAGCAGUAGGGAAUCUUCCGCAAUGGGCGAAAGCCUGACGGAGCAACGCCGCGUGAGUGAUGAAGGUCUUCGGAUCGUAAAACUCUGUUAUUAGGGAAGAACAUAUGUGUAAGUAACUGUGCACAUCUUGACGGUACCUAAUCAGAAAGCCACGGCUAACUACGUGCCAGCAGCCGCGGUAAUACGUAGGUGGCAAGCGUUAUCCGGAAUUAUUGGGCGUAAAGCGCGCGUAGGCGGUUUUUUAAGUCUGAUGUGAAAGCCCACGGCUCAACCGUGGAGGGUCAUUGGAAACUGGAAAACUUGAGUGCAGAAGAGGAAAGUGGAAUUCCAUGUGUAGCGGUGAAAUGCGCAGAGAUAUGGAGGAACACCAGUGGCGAAGGCGACUUUCUGGUCUGUAACUGACGCUGAUGUGCGAAAGCGUGGGGAUCAAACAGGAUUAGAUACCCUGGUAGUCCACGCCGUAAACGAUGAGUGCU
rnacentral:rRNA from 1 species